rnacentral:ncRNA from 1 species
ACAAUCGGACCUCCUUUCGGUUCGACGAAACGGAACACGGUGCAAAUCCGUGGCGGGCCCGCCGCUGUAUCCGGGGACGGGCGCUGCAAGGUCGACAGACCGGCCACUGGCGGGGACCACCCCGCCGGGAAGGCGCAGCGCUACGGCUGAUCCGGGAGCCAGAAGACGUGUCGAACCGCGGAGGAGUCC